UUUCUCGUGGUGUAAUGGAUAGCACUAUCAGCUCACAUCUGAAAGAUCUUGGGUUCGAAUCCGGGGCAAGAAAG